rnacentral:lncRNA from 1 species
GAGGCACAAAACGAGUAGAGAUAGAGGCACAUAACUAGUAGACCACACACUCAGCGCACCCAGUCGUACCCAGCAGCCUCAUUCCCCUCCCUCACGCCUCACUACCUCCCCCUCAAACCUCAACAAGAGACCACACAGCGCACUCCAGCCUCUGCUCCCCUCCUUCACGCCUCAUGGGUCACUACCCCACCCUCAAGUCAACACUCAACACAAGUAGAAACACACACACACACACAGCUGCAACCAACACACGCUCGCCACAAUCACCGCCGACACCAACCGCCAGCUGAUCUACUGCUCUGUGAGGACCGUGACCAAAUCUGCUGCUACCGCCUACUGAUUGUUGUCUCCGCACCUCCACACACUUCAUUACCAAGUUUCUCCUCUAAGUUCCAUACAAAAUCCAGCAAACGGCAGCCCAAUUUUUGUUUCGAGUUUGGAUUUUUGAGUUUAGUUCAAAUACAAAUAGUUGUAAUGUGUAAUAUAUUAUAUAACGUAUGUUAACGUUGAUUAGGAAUUGGUUUUGUUUAAUUCUCCAUAUUCCACUAUAAGUGAGGAGAGGAUAGGAAAAGAAAAGAAAAAAAAAAGGCAGCAUUUGAUUUCUAGUAACACCACACCUACAUAAUAACGAAAAUAAAUUGGGCCAUCGGGGUGAUGAAUAAGAAUUGAAAAAAAAAUUGUGAAAAUGUUGGAUUAUUGGCACCUCUUCAUUAAUCUUAUAAAACCCCUAUUAUAUACAAUUAUAUUUAAGGACAUAUUAUUAGAAUUAACCCCAUUUAUAUUUUCUCUUUCUCGUUGUAUGGUUUUUUUUUCUUCUUUUCAAUUUCAAAUAUAAUUUGUUCCAAAGCAGCUCAAAGUCUCGAUUUUUUUUCUUUUGAAACUAAAUAAUCCAAAGUUUUUGUUUUAUACACAAAAAUAACUAAAGUUUUAAUAACCUUUUAUCUAAUAUCUUUCAAUUGGACAAGAAUCUCAAUAAAUAAUUGUUAUGUAAGAUAAAUGAAAGAAAAAGCACAAAAUAAAUUUUAAUAAUUAACUUAGUGGUCAAUAAAAACUAAACUCAGUGUUAAAUCCUAAUCUCUUUCAACCCCUUUUUUUUUUCACCUCACUAUCAAGAAUCCUGCAGGGUAAUAGCCUAGUCUUGACUUUGAAUUAACGCUGGCCCUCUCAAGUCUUCAAGUUGUUAUCCUGUACACAUUCAAAAACGAUUGAUAUUAAUUGGACCCACGGAAGUCUUAACUGAACAUUAAUUGGAAGAAAGAUAGAGGAGGUUUCCUUGAAAAAUACUUCCAAUAAUUUUGAAAGGGAUAGAGCCGUUUGUUGGCCUAAUUUUCAAUUGUUAUUUGUAUGGUGAGGAGGCAAGUGGGGACACUGGGCAGUAGGGGUGGGCAAAAUAACCAAUCCGACCCGAUUCGAUCCGAAAAAAAUUGGGUUCAGAUCGGAUCGGAUUGACCAUAAUAUCCGAUCGGAUCAAAUGUUGCCAACCCGAUCGGAUCGUGAUCAGAUCGGGUGAAAUUUGAUCCAAUCCGAUAACCUGAAUGGGUUGGCUUAAGGAAGAAAGUGAACAACCCACACUGAUAUAGCACACAUGCAUCCAACAACAAGCAGUCAAGCACUAGUGACGCCGCAGAGCACAGACCACACACUACACAGCCUCACACACCACACACGUAUACGGCACACAUCACAGAGAUGGAGGCACAAAACGAGUAGAGAUAGAGGCACAAAACUAGUAGACCACACACUCAGCGCACCCAGCCGUACCCAGCAGCCUCACUCCCUCCCUCACGCCUCACUACCUCCCCCUCAAACCUCAAUGAGAGACCACACAGUGCACUCCAGCCUCUGCUCCCCUUCUUCACGCCUCAUGGGUCACUGCCCCACCCUCAAGUCAACACUCAACACAAGUAGAAACACACACACACACACACACACACACAGCCGCAGCCAACACACGCUCGCCACAAUCACCGCCGACGCCAACCGCCAGCCGAUCUACUGCUCUGCGAGGACCGCGACCAGAUCUGCUGCUACCGCUUAUUGACUAUUGUCUCCGCACCUCCACACACUUCAUUACCAAGUUUCUCCUCUAAGUUCCAUACAAAAUCCAGCAAACGGCAGCCCAAUUUUUGUUUCGAGUUUGGAUUUUUGAGUUUAGUUCAAAUACAAAUAAUUGUAAUGUGUAAUAUAUUAUAUAACGUAUGUUAACGUUGAUUAGGAAUUGGUUUUGUUUAAUUCUCCAUAUUCCACUAUAAGUGAGGAGAGGAUAGGAAAAGAAAAGAAAAAAAAAAGGCAGCAUUUGAUUUCUAGUAACACCACACCUACAUAAUAACGAAAAUAAAUUGGGCCAUCGGGG